AGAGUUUGAUCAUGGCUCAGAACGAACGCUGGCGGCGGGCUUAACACAUGCAAGUCGAACGAGAAAGUUCUCUUCGGAGAGCGAGUAAAGUGGCGCACGGGUGAGUAACACGUGGGUAACCUACCCCCGAGUCUGGGAUAACGGCUCGAAAGAGCCGCUAAUACCGGAUAAGACCACGGCGACUCCGGUCGCUGCGGGAAAAGGAGGCCUCUGACAUAAGCCUUCACUUGGGGAUGGGCUCGCGGACCAUUAGCUAGUUGGUGGGGUAAUUGCCCACCAAGGCAACGAUGGUUAGCUGGUCUGAGAGGAUGACCAGCCACACUGGUACUGGAACACGGACCAGACUCCUACGGGAGGCAGCAGUGAGGAAUAUUGGGCAAUGGGCGAAAGCCUGACCCAGCCACGCCGCGUGAGUGAAGAAGGCCCUCGGGUCGUAAAGCUCUGUCAAGAGGGAAGAAAUAUUUCCGGUUAAGAUUCGGAAAGGAUGACGGUACCUCUAAAGGAAGCACCGGCUAACUCCGUGCCAGCAGCCGCGGUAAUACGGAGGGUGCGAGCGUUGUUCGGAAUCAUUGGGCGUAAAGAGCGCGUAGGCGGUCCGGCAAGUCAGAUGUGAAAUCCCCGGGCUCAACCCGGGAAGUGCAUUUGAAACUGCCAGACUUGAGUACGGGAGAGGGAGGUGGAAUUCCCAGUGUAGAGGUGAAAUUCGUUGAUAUUGGGAGGAACACCGGUGGCGAAAGCGGCCUCCUGGACCGAUACUGACGCUGAGGCGCGAAAGCGUGGGGAGCAAACAGGAUUAGAUACCCUAGUAGUCC
rnacentral:rRNA from 1 species